rnacentral:rRNA from 1 species
UGGGGAAUUUUGCACAAUGGGCGCAAGCCUGAUGCAGCGACGCCGCGUGAGGGAUGAAGGCCUUCGGGUUGUAAACCUUUUUCGCUCAUGGUCAAGCCGCAGCUUUGGGUUGUGGUGAGGGUAGUGGGUAAAGAAGCGCCGGCUAACUACGUGCCAGCAGCCGCGGUAAUACGUAGGGCGCGAGCGCUGUCCGGAAUUAUUGGGCGUAAAGGGCUUGUAGGCGGUUGGCCGCGUCUGCCGUGAAAUCCUCUGGCUUAACUGGGGGCGUGCGGUGGGUACGGGUUGACUUGAGUGCGGUAGGGGAGACUGGAAUUCCUGGUGUAGCGGUGGAAUGCGCAGAUAUCAGGAGGAACACCGGUGGCGAAGGCGGGUCUCUGGACUGCAACUGACACUGAGGCACGAAAGCGUGGGUAGCAAACAGG